GAUGAACGCUGGCGGCGUGCCUAAUACAUGCAAGUCGAGCGUACAGAUGAGGAGCUUGCUCCUCUGACGUUAGCGGCGGACGGGUGAGUAACACGUGGAUAACCUACCUAUAAGACUGGGAUAACUUCGGGAAACCGGAGCUAAUACCGGAUAAUAUAUUGAACCGCAUGGUUCAAUAGUGAAAGACGGUUUUGCUGUCACUUAUAGAUGGAUCCGCGCCGCAUUAGCUAGUUGGUAAGGUAACGGCUUACCAAGGCGACGAUGCGUAGCCGACCUGAGAGGGUGAUCGGCUACACUGGAACUGAGACACGGUCCAGACUCCUACGGGAGGCAGCAGUAGGGAAUCUUCCGCAAUGGGCGAAAGCCUGACGGAGCAACGCCGCGUGAGUGAUGAAGGUCUUCGGAUCGUAAAACUCUGUUAUUAGGGAAGAACAAAUGUGUAAGUAACUAUGCACGUCUUGACGGUACCUAAUCAGAAAGCCACGGCUAACUACGUG
rnacentral:rRNA from 1 species